GAUGAACGCUGGCGGCGUGGAUAAGGCAUGCAAGUCGAACGAGACCUUCGGGUCUAGUGGCAGACGAGGUAGUAACAGGUAGGAACCUACCCCUAAGUCAGGAAUAACCCAUCGAAAGGUGAGCUAAUACCUGAUAGUCCUCAAGAGGUAAAGAUUUAUCGCUUAGGGAGGGGCCUGCUUAAUAUCAGCUUGUUGGUGAGGUAAUGGCUCACCAAGGCUAUGACGUUUAGGGGAGCUGAGAGGCUGACCCCCACCGAUGGUACUGAGAUACGGACCAUACACCUACGGGUGGCCGCAGUCGAGAAUCUUCCGCAAUGGACGAAAGUCUGACGGAGCGACGCCGCGUGAUUGAUGAAGUCUUUAGGGAUGUAAAGAUCUUUUCUAAGGGAGGAAGUUUAUUGACGUUACCUUAGGAAUAAGGGGUUGCUAAACUCG
rnacentral:rRNA from 1 species